CAAUUCUGUCUUAACUUCCUCCCCAGGAAAGUAUAUUGCAUCUGAAGUGUGCUAUGUACUUUACAAAUACAGAAACAAGUACCUCAUCCCCAUGAUCUUUGAGACUAAAGAGACAAAACAGACAGGAGAUGGAGGACUGGGAUCUAGAUAUAUUUCAGUAUUAAUUGGCCUUAAAUAAAUGAAAGAUGAAGACCAUUAUCAAGAGCAUUUUGAAGAAAGCCCAGAGAAGGCUCAAAUCCUUUCAGCUCUACGAAACCAGACAAACAACGUUAGUAAGAUGUGGAAUACAACUGGAAGAACUGGCCUAAAUUACAUCAUCACCACGGAUGGUAUGCAGCCAUUAUUGACAAGUCAGGUUUGCUACUGGAUAUUUUCCCAUUGGCAAGCAAGACCUUUUGCUUCAGAUGCAAACCAUGCUACAUGCCUUUGCACCCUGAGAUAACACUACUGCACUUUACUUGGGCUACACCACAAAAGGACUAUUUUAGAAGCUAAAGCCAAUCCACAACAUGGCAGCUUUACAGUGCUCCUCCAAGCUGCAGUUGCAUAUGCACUUCUAGGUGGAAUUAAUUCUAGGUGUAGGUAAUGACUUUCAGAGCCAAAAAAAGUGGUUUGAGUCCAGGGUACCUGAGAAACACUGCUUUGCUCAUGCCAUACUGCCACAAGUGGCAUCAUUCAGAGCCCAGAUCCGUUACCUUCCAAACGUACUGCAAUGCUCAUCUUUUUCCUUGGCCUUUUGCAAGGGGAAGACCGGAGUUUGGUGGAAUUAUGGAGUUUGGGAGCUAGAUCAGAUUGUAAAUUUUAAGUAUGCUAAGGGAAAGGAAGGGCACAUACUAUCUCUUGUACAAAAUCAAAAUAAGUAAGCUUUAAUACACAGCCUAAUACUGAAAGCAAAAGUAUUCGCAGUCAGGAAAGACACAUAAACAAGCAAUACCAACCCCACAAUAUGGUGCACAGAGAAGAAACAGGCAUAUCCUUUCAGGCACAAGAACUCAGUCCUACAUAGGAGGAGAGCAAUGGGCAAAAAGCUUACAAGAACAAAACACUUUAAGC